rnacentral:rRNA from 1 species
CCCUUAGAUGUUCUGGGCCGCACACGCGCUACACUGAAGGAGGCAGCGUGUACUCCUGGAUCGAAAGAUUUGGGUAACCCGCGAAUCUCCUUCGUGCUAGGGAUUGAGGUUUGCAAUUAUCCUUCAUGAACGAGGAAUUCCUAGUAAACGCAAGUCAUCAGCUUGCAUUGAUUACGUCCCUGCCCUUUGUACACACCGCCCGUCGCACCUACCGAUUGAAUGGUCCGGUGAAAUCUCGGGACGGCGGCUUGGUCGCUUGCGUCCGACUGCUGAAACUUGAUUAAACCAUAUCAUUUAGAGGAAGGUGAAGUCGUAACA